UCCCCAAAUGCCACCCCUCCCGUGGGGCCAUUAGGCCGGUGGCCAGGGGCCACCGGCUGCCAAAAGCCACUUGCUCGGAGCCAGAUAAACUCUGGCACUUCGUUAGGAGCCUCCCAGCCAAACGGGCUGUGUGACACAGCAGCCGUGACUCAGGGCAGCGAGCGGGUAAAUACGCGUCCCACGAGGCUGCGAGGAAGGGCCGGAUGCUCCAGCUGCUUCCUCCAGCGCUGGGGACAGCGGCUGCGGGGAGGAGGGGACAGCCAGGGUCACCGUCCCACCGCCAGCAGUGCCUUUCCAUGCCGGGGGAAACUGAGGCACGGAAAAGGGCUGAGCAUCAUGCAGCGGCCCACGUGUUGAGAUGGCAGAAACCUCUGGGGCUGCUGCACCACAACUGCACCCCCUGCCCAGGGCAGAGUGGCUGCUGAGGUCCCCCGGUUUCCCCCCAUGGGGACAACGUGGCUUCCCCGCACACGCCAGCUCCUCACUGGAGCUUUGGGCAUCACAGCCCAGGCUGACAAAGCCCAUUUCAGCCCCACGGACCAACAUGGGCCACACAGGACCCUUCCUCCAUCCAUUUCCUCCACUCUCUGAGCCUCAUUUCUCCCCCACCGCUUCCCUCCUCCACAUCCCCAGCAGGAACGUGGCCCCGAAGCACCCAUGAGUGACCCAACGGUACCACUCGCACCCAGCUCAGAGCCAGAUGUGCCUCCACAUCUCCCAACACAGCAGCUCCCCCGCAGCUUCUGGGGUCAUCAGCAAAGUUGGACUAGAUUGAAAUAGAUGGUCUCCACGAGCAGAGGGAAAGUCCCUUCCCUUUCCCUGCCCCUCAUCCUCCCCAGUUAUCCGCACCAAAGCGUAGAACACGUUUCCCUCCUUUCCUCGCUGGCCCGGACCUCUCCUGCCUUUGAAAAGCCCUGACGUCUCCUCGCAAGCUCUGUCUUCUACAAAUCACCCCAUCACCUUCCAGCCCCAGCUGCUCGCUGUGUGUUCAGACAGAACCGCUGGCGUCAGCCACAUCUGCAAGGACAAAGGUGGCCGCGGAGAGAGAAGGCAGAGCAGGAAGCAGAGAUGGCGCUGGGAUGUGAGGAAGGGAUGUCUGCAGGUUCCCAGAUCCGCCGGCUUUCACUUUUCCCACACUCUUGGAUUUUUAGGUUCUUAAAUUCCCAUCACAGGAUGCGAGUCCCUCUGCGUUGCUCUGUGGGGAUGCCCUGUCCACAUCGGAGCAGGGACAGGACGGGAUUUGCACCCAGGAAGACACCAGGAGGCCCAAGGGAGCUGAGAUGGUGCAGCCCAGUGGAAAUUCUCUGUUUAAUUACACGUGGGAAGGAUGGGCUGUGGGUGGUGGUUCACGUGAGAUGUCGAAACAACCGGCAGCAGCUGCAGGAUGGGGACGGUGGAUGCGUCACCACAGAUGCCCCGUGACCUCCAUGGCUGUGCAGGAAGGAACCGGCACUUGGUCCUCGUGGGAGGAAGAGGAGGGCGGGGGGACGGGGCACCCAGAGCAGCACUGGGGUCCCCAGUGCUUGGGGGUGCUACAGGCAGCCCCGCCAUAGAAACAUGGCUUUUGGGGAGCACACAGCACCGCUACGGCAGAGCCUCUGGAAUCCCCGCUUUGGUCCCCAAAUGCCAUUACCCUCGGUGAGGGCCACAGCACAACCCAGGUCCUGGUACCGAGGGCUGCUCACAAACCUGCCUCCGGGCCGGAACGUGGCGCUCGUGCUUUUUGCUCCUUAAAUAAUAACAAUAAUAAUCAUAAUAAUCAUACAUUGAAUAUAAAUAUAUUUUUAUAUCAAUAACAAAAUGUAACUAUAAAUUCAAUAUAGAUUUGCUAUAUAUUAUUUAUUAAAUUUCUGGUGAUGAUAA